rnacentral:rRNA from 1 species
GCUUCCCUCUUUCUUCGUGCCUAAUACAUGCAAGUCGAGCGAACAGACGAGGAGCUUGCUCCUCUGACGUUAGCGGCGGACGGGUGAGUAACACGUGGAUAACCUACCUAUAAGACUGGGAUAACUUCGGGAAACCGGAGCUAAUACCGGAUAAUAUAUUGAACCGCAUGGUUCAAUAGUGAAAGACGGUUUUGCUGUCACUUAUAGAUGGAUCCGCGCCGCAUUAGCUAGUUGGUAAGGUAACGGCUUACCAAGGCAACGAUGCGUAGCCGACCUGAGAGGGUGAUCGGCCACACUGGAACUGAGACACGGUCCAGACUCCUACGGGAGGCAGCAGUAGGGAAUCUUCCGCAAUGGGCGAAAGCUUGACGGAGCAACGCCGCGUGAGUGAUGAAGGUCUUCGGAUCGUAAAACUCUGUUAUUAGGGAAGAACAAAUGUGUAAGUAACUAUGCACGUCUUGACGGUACCUAAUCAGAAAGCCACGGCUAACUACG